CCUACGGGUGGCAGCAGUGAGGAAUAUUGGUCAAUGGACGCAAGUCUGAACCAGCCAAGUAGCGUGCAGGAUGACGGCCCUCCGGGUUGUAAACUGCUUUUAGUUGGGAAUAAAAGGGGGCUCGUGAGCCCCGUAUUGUAUGUACCAUCAGUAAAAGGACCGGCUAAUUCCGUGCCAGCAGCCGCGGUAACACGGAAGGUGCGGGUGUUAUCCGGAUUUAUUGGGUUUAAAGGGAGCGUAGGCCGGCUUGUAAGUCAGGUGUUAAAGGCGCAGGCUCAACCUGUGUAUGGCACUUGAUACUUGCAAGCUGGAAUGCGGUAGAGGUAAAGGGAAUUCCUGGUGUAGCGGUGAAAUGCUUAGAUAUCAGGAGGAACAUCGGUGGCGUAAGCGCUUUACUGGGCCGUAAUUGACGCUGAGGAACGAAAGCCAGGGUAGCAAAUGGGAUUAGAUACCCGUGUAGUC
rnacentral:rRNA from 1 species